UAAGAGGUUUUAAUAGGGACAUCUGAGGAGUCCCUACAAGGUACCAGUUAGAGAUUACUCUUUCAUUGGAAAAGAGUUGAGAAACAGUUGUAUUUGCUAUUAAAAUUUGUUUUGUAAGAGGUUUUAAUAGGGACAUCUGAGGAGUCCCUACAAGGUACCAGUUAGAGAUUACUCUUUCAUUGGAAAAGAGUUGAGAAACAGUUGUAUUUGCUAUUAAAAUUUGUUUUGUAAGAGGUUUUAAUAGGGACAUCUGAGGGGUCCCUACAAGGUACCAGUUAGAGCUUACUCUUUCAUUGGAAAAGAGUUGAGAAACAGUUGUAUUUGCUAUUAAAAUUUGUUUUGUAAGAGGUUUUAAUAGGGACAUCUGAGGAGUCCCUACAAGGUACCAGUUAGAGCUUACUCUUUCAUUGGAAAAGAGUUGAGAAACAGUUGUAUUUGCUAUUAAAAUUUGUUUUGUAAGAGGUUUUAAUAGGGACAUCUGAGGAGUCCCUACAAGGUACCAGUUAGAGCUUACUCUUUCAUUGGAAAAGAGUUGAGAAACAGUUGUAUUUGCUAUUAAAAUUUGUUUUGUAAGAGGUUUUAAUAGGGACAUCUGAGGAGUCCCUACAAGGUACCAGUUAGAGAUUACUCUUUCAUUGGAAAAGAGUUGAGAAACAGUUGUAUUUGCUAUUAAAAUUUGUUUUGUAAGAGGUUUUAAUAGGGACAUCUGAGGAGUCCCUACAAGGUACCAGUUAGAGAUUACUCUUUCAUUGGAAAAGAGUUGAGAAACAGUUGUAUUUGCUAUUAAAAUUUGUUUUGUAAGAGGUUUUAAUAGGGACAUCUGAGGAGUCCCUACAAGGUACCAGUUAGAGAUUACUCUUUCAUUGGAAAAGAGUUGAGAAACAGUUGUAUUUGCUAUUAAAAUUUGUUUUGUAAGAGGUUUUAAUAGGGACAUCUGAGGAGUCCCUACAAGGUACCAGUUAGAGAUUACUCUUUCAUUGGAAAAGAGUUGAGAAACAGUUGUAUUUGCUAUUAAAAUUUGUUUUGUAAGAGGUUUUAAUAGGGACAUCUGAGGGGUCCCUACAAGGUACCAGUUAGAGCUUACUCUUUCAUUGGAAAAGAGUUGAGAAACAGUUGUAUUUGCUAUUAAAAUUUGUUUUGUAAGAGGUUUUAAUAGGGACAUCUGAGGAGUCCCUACAAGGUACCAGUUAGAGAUUACUCUUUCAUUGGAAAAGAGUUGAGAAACAGUUGUAUUUGCUAUUAAAAUUUGUUUUGUAAGAGGUUUUAAUAGGGACAUCUGAGGAGUCCCUACAAGGUACCAGUUAGAGCUUACUCUUUCAUUGGAAAAGAGUUGAGAAACAGUUGUAUUAGCUGUGUGACUGUGGGCCGGUCACUUGACCCCAAUUGCCUCA